rnacentral:rRNA from 1 species
AGUUUGAUCCUGGCUCAGAAUGAACGCUGGCGGCAGGCCUAACACAUGCAAGUCGAACGGAUCCUUCGGGAUUAGUGGCGGACGGGUGAGUAACGCGUGGGAACAUACCCUUUGGUACGGAAUAGCCUCGGGAAACUGGGAGUAAUACCGUAUGUGGUCGAGAGACGAAAGAUUUAUCGCCAAAGGAUUGGCCCGCGUUGGAUUAGGUAGUUGGUGGGGUAAUGGCCUACCAAGCCGACGAUCCAUAGCUGGUUUGAGAGGAUGAUCAGCCACACUGGGACUGAGACACGGCCCAGACUCCUACGGGAGGCAGCAGUGGGGGAAUCUUAGACAAUGGGGAAACCCUGAUCUAGCCAUGCCGCGUGAUCGAUGAAGGCCUUAGGGUUGUAAAGAUCUUUCAGGUGGGAAGAUAAUGACUGUACCACCAGAAGAAGCCCCGGCUAACUCCGUG